rnacentral:rRNA from 1 species
CCUUGCCAGCCCGCUCAAGAACUCGAAAGGAAUUGACGGGGCCCGCACAAGCGGUGGAGUAUGUGGUUUAAUUCGAUGCAACGCGAAGAACCUUACCUGGUCUUGACAUCCCGGAGACCCUUAGGAAACUAGGGGGUGCUUCCAUCUGGAAGAAUCUGGAGACAGGUGCUGCAUGGCUGUCGUCAGCUCGUGUCGUGAGAUGUUGGGUUAAGUCCCGCAACGAGCGCAACCCUUGCCUUUAGUUGCCAGCAGUUCGGCUGGGCACUCUAAAGGGACUGCCGGUGUUAAACCGGAGGAAGGUGGGGAUGACGUCAAGUCCUCAUGGCCUUUAUGACCAGGGCUACACACGUACUACAAUGGCCGAUACAAAGGGCAGCGACACUGCGAGGUGAAGCCAAUCCCGUAAAAUCGGUCUCAGUCCGGAUUGGAGUCUGCAACUCGACUCCAUGAAGUUGGAAUCGCUAGUAAUCGUGGAUCAGCAUGCCACGGUGAAUACGUUCCCGGGCCUU